rnacentral:rRNA from 1 species
AAAAAUUUGGCGGUAUUUUAGUCUUUUCAUAGGAACCUGUUCUAUAAUUGAUAGUCCACGAUUAAAUAUACUUAUUUUAGUAAUUUAUAUAUCGUCGUAGUUUGAAUAUUUUAACAGAAUUUUUAAUAUUCAAGAUUUAAGAUUAUAAAAUAAAUCAGAUCAAGGUGUAGUUUAUAAAUAAGAAGAAAUGGGUUACAAUUAAUAUAUUAUUUGGAUAAGAUUUUAUAAAAAUUUUUGAAAUUGGAUUUGAAAGUAAUUAAAUUUAUUUAAUUUUAAUGAUUUAAGCUCUAAAAUAUGUACAUAUUGCCCGUCGCUUUUGUUUUAAAAUGAAAUAAGUCGUAACAAAGUAGAUUUACUGGAAAGUGAAUCUAGAAUA